rnacentral:lncRNA from 1 species
CAUCAAAGCCUACCUAUAAAUUAUCACACUGAAUUCCCUGCUUGUCUGGGGGGGGGCUGUUUUCUCUAAUAGUGGAAUAAUCAGCCUAUCCUGUACUUCCUGCCUCCUUAUUUUUCCAAGGUCGAAGAACUUGCUAGCUAGUCAAAAUCCUUUCACCUCUCAAUUGUGUGCUUCCAUCAUCAUCCACCUUCUCUCUUUGUGCUUUCUAUGAAUUCGGUACCACUUAAGCAGGGACUUGUCUCCCAAGCCUUAUAGGGUUGAUGUAAUUGCUGUUGUCUAGGGAGCACACAGCUCAGAAGAGUUGCGUGUAAAGACUUCAAGAGGAUGCCAAAGAAGCCUUUAAAGACCUAAAUCCCCUGGGUUAGUUCUGGACAUGUGUUACUAGGUCCUGCCAUUACUAUUUAGGUUUCAUUAGGUGCUGUUUUUUUUGUUUGAACUUUUAAUGGUUUUGGUAAUGGAUGCUGGGUAUCAUGGGUUAAUUCUUUAAUUUAUUGCCCAGAGUAGUACUUGUCACUAAGUUGGGUGGUACAUAAAUAUUUGAAAUAAGUAAAUGAUCCAUUAGUGGUUGGAGAUGCUAGGGGUUGCAGACCCCCCCCCCAAAAAAACCAUAAGGAUUUCAAGCUCUGGUCUGGAGUGGGAAGCAGGGAGUCCUGGCAUGAUGGCCCAACCAUGAACCAGCUGGGGGCUGUUCAAGCAGCAGGCAAGGAGAAAGAAAUAGACUCGUCGUGUCUUAUUCGCCUUUCAGUCAUCAAAAAGGCCAUUCUGCGUGAUGAGCUUCUCCUGAAUCAGUUGAAAGGGAUACCGUUUUCUGACAUCAGCAUUGGAGGACUCCUCGGUCUGGUCAAUAGCAUCGCUGGGCUUAGAAUUGUGAACCUCGAAAUUACCGGUGUUCAACAAGUAUUUUCACCAGACGUAUCAGGCUGUCUUCUCUCUGUCUCCAUCCGUUUGGAAAUCUCUGGCCACACCCUGCUUGAUCUCUCGAACCUGGUCAGCAUCUCACUGGAACUGACGAUCCGAGUCAAAUAUUCAUUUAUAAACUUCCAGAGUGGGUCCUUUGAUUUCUUCUUUCACGAAUGUGGCGCUGAUUUUGGAGCUAUUAAAAUCAACAUCUUGGGCACUUAUGUGGCGUGGUGCAGACGGUCUUCAACUUGGUCAAAUCCCUCUUCUUGGACACGGUGA